CUUGCAUGGAAGGCAAGCCACCGAGGCCAGGCAGUGAUGGUGAGCAUCAUGAGAUGAGCAUCCUUUCCCCGAAUAUCAGUGCGCACUAAUUUUGCUCAGCUGCAGAUCAAAUUGCCUCUCGAGACCUACCACCACCCAGCCGGCUGCGCCCAAAAGAGCUACAAAGGAUGUCUACUGGUAACAGCAGCAGGGGAACAGCGGAGAAGGAUGGUACAGUAGCUGGCGUGAACAAGACAGUGGCAUCCGAGCCGAGCUAAGCGUAUUUCGACUGCACAGUGUCUGAGCGCCGGGAAAUUACACCCCCUAAUUUGUCUUUUCGACUGGAACAACGACGUUCACUUCUAACGCUAUUUGGAUACAUUUUUGCACCCUUCAUCCUUGGAUAGUGAACUACAGAACACAUCCUUGGCCAGCUCACGGCCACCAUUCACGCCCAAACCACAGAAUGACAGUGUUCACUCCUCCCAACCGAGCCAAAUAAAGACUUCCCAUCCUACUAAAGCCCCAUCUCAUCUCUCCAGUACUGUACCCCUGACCACAUCCACACAGACAGAGCAAACGUUGCCCAGGGACACAGUGGAACUGGUAGCCCCCGUCGGCCCAGAGCCCCAAACUGUGGCGAGAAGGAACCAGACCCCCAAAGCCGUCACCCUCCCAGUAACCCAGGUCGUGUCACUUUCAACCAUCAUCAACGGCAGCCACACCUUAUCUGACGUACUUGCAGAGCCCCCUUCCUUCUGGCUGGCUGUUGACUUCAGUCUGCUGCUUCCGAGGGCGGGUUUCACCUCGCCGCAGCUUGAGGAUCACUUUAGGCCUCUGCAGUUUGCUCCAUUUCUUUUCCAGG
ensembl:lncRNA